GUCAGGAAGACCACCGCGCAACCUUCACGAGGCCCCCAUAAGGC
rnacentral:misc_RNA from 1 species